AGUUUGAUCAUGGCUCAGAUUGAACGCUGGCGGCAGGCCUAACACAUGCAAGUCGAACGGUAACAGGAAGAAGCUUGCUUCUUUGCUGACGAGUGGCGGACGGGUGAGUAAUGUCUGGGAAACUGCCUGAUGGAGGGGGAUAACUACUGGAAACGGUAGCUAAUACCGCAUAACGUCGCAAGACCAAAGAGGGGGACCUUCGGGCCUCUUGCCAUCGGAUGUGCCCAGAUGGGAUUAGCUAGUAGGUGGGGUAACGGCUCACCUAGGCGACGAUCCCUAGCUGGUCUGAGAGGAUGACCAGCCACACUGGAACUGAGACACGGUCCAGACUCCUACGGGAGGCAGCAGUGGGGAAUAUUGCACAAUGGGCGCAAGCCUGAUGCAGCCAUGCCGCGUGUAUGAAGAAGGCCUUCGGGUUGUAAAGUACUUUCAGCGGGGAGGAA
rnacentral:rRNA from 1 species